GAUGAACGCUGGCAGCGUGCCUAAUACAUGCAAGUCGAGCGAAUGGAUUAAGAGCUUGCUCUUAUGAAGUUAGCGGCGGACGGGUGAGUAACACGUGGGUAACCUGCCCAUAAGACUGGGAUAGCUCCGGGAAACCGGGGCUAAUACCGGAUAACAUUUUGAACCGCAUGGUUCGAAAUUGAAAGGCGGCUUCGGCUGUCACUUAUGGAUGGACCCGCGUCGCAUUAGCUAGUUGGUGAGGUAACGGCUCACCAAGGCAACGAUGCGUAGCCGACCUGGGAGGGUGGUCGGCCAGACUGGGACUGAGACACGGCCCAGACUCCUACGGGAGGCAGCAGUAGGGAAUCUUCCGCAAUGGACGAAAGUCUGACGGAGCAACGCCGCGUGAGUGAUGAAGGCUUUCGGGUCGUAAAACUCUGUUGUUAGGGAAGAACAAGUGCUAGUUGAAUAAGCUGACACCUUGACGGUACCUAACCAGAAAGCCACGGCUAACUACGUGCCAGCCGCCGCGGUAA
rnacentral:rRNA from 1 species